rnacentral:rRNA from 1 species
AAUCGGAAUAUUUGGCAAUGGGCGCAAGCCUGACCAAGCGACGCCGCGUGAGCGAUGAAGGCCUUCGGGUUGUAAAGCUCUGUGUUGUGGGACGAAAAACCGGUAGACAAACAGCUUACCGGUCUGACUGUACCAUAAUAGAAAGCCCCGGCUAACUUACGUGCCAGCAGCCGCGGUAAUACGUAGGGGGCUAGCGUUGUUCGGAAUCACUGGGCGUAAAGGGCGUACAGGUGGCUGUGUAAGUCGGAUGUGAAAUUCUCGAGCUUAACUUGGGAGCUGCAUCUGAUACUGCAUGGCUGGAGUUCAGGAUAGGAGAGUGGAAUAUGUGGUGUAGCGGUGAAAUGCGUAGAUAUCACAUAGAACACCGGUGGCGAAGGCGGCUCUCUGGCCUGAUACUGACACUGACGCGCGAAAGCUAGGGUAGCGAACGGGAUUAGAAACCCGGGUAGUCC